UGAGGUUAUCCCGCAUAGGUUGUGGAAUAGGCCGGCGAAGACUUUAUAUAAGUGUAAGGGAUAACCUCACCUCACAAACUAGUUUUUGAGGGGGAGAUAGGCCAAAGACCAAUCUGUUGGUUUAACUUUGAACUUUUACAUCCUAUGGGAUUGCAGGACAAGUUAAGGAGAUAAAAAACUCUGAGACACUUGCUAUGUGUCCAGUUCCAGAAAACAGUUCUCCUAAGGGUCAUUCUCCGAAGCUUUUUGUUUUUGGAGAUUCUUAUGUUGACACCGGGAAUCUUCAACCUUUCCGGUCUUCUGGUGGUUGUGUUCUGACUGAUUAUAUAGCCUCAUUUCUCGGUAUAAAUUCUCCGGUACAAUAUGAAAAGAGAAACUUGGCAGAAAACAAAGCAGAACUGAAGAAUGGAAUGAAUUUUGCAUACGGAGGGAGUGGUGUUUUGAAGGAAGCAUGGAACAAUCAUAGCAUGACCAUCCAAAUCAACAAUUUUAAACAACAAAUUAAAGAGAAAGUGUUCACAAAAUAUGACCUUGAAAAUUCUGCUGCACUAGUUUCUCACGCAGGCAAUGACUACACGUACUUGUAUCUUAACCAAAGCGGCACCAUAAAGGUGAGUGGUUAGGCUAAUGAGAUUAAGCAAGUCCUUGUUUCCUUUUCUUCUCUUUUUCCCAGUACUGCAUUUUCUUUACACAUGACAGGACGUGCAUGCUCUCGCUGGAAGAGUUGUUGACCAGCUUGUGAAGAACGUGAAAGAAAUCCAUGAGCUGGGAGUGAAAAAAAUAGCAAUUUUAGGAUCACCACCCAGAGGAUGUUGGCCGCAACUUAAUCCGCGACCUCGUACAAAUUGCAAUGCGACUUGGAACGAGGAGUCGAGGUUCCACAAUCAGCUAUUGACAGAAGCGCUGAAAAAUGUAGAGGAGAGCGAGAAGAAUGCAUUUGUGUUUUUGGAUCUUUACAAGGCCAUGGAUCUGGCACUUCAAAAAAACAAAGAAAACUCAGACUACGAGAAUCCAUUAGAGCCAUGCUGCGAUGGAGUGAGUGAUGAAUAUUGGUGCGGGAUGAAAGAUCAGAAAGGUGCAGAGAUGUUUACAGUAUGCCGGCAGCCGGAGUCGUCAUUUUUCUGGGAUAAAGUGCACCCUUCACAGAACGGUGUGCAUGCCAUUUUCUUGGAUCUAAUACCUUCUCUUGAGAGACUCCUUUUAAUCUGUUAAUGUGAGAGGCAAGAAGAACUUUAAUCUCCUCUUUCGUAAGAUUGACUGUAAACAAAUUUGAAUUCCCAGUAUCCCAUCAGAACUAAUUA